rnacentral:rRNA from 1 species
CCUACGGGUGGCAGCAGUGGGGAAUAUUGCACAAUGGGGGAAACCCUGAUGCAGCGACGCCGCGUGAGUGAAGAAGUCUCUCGGUACGUAAAGCUCUAUCAGCAGGGAAGAAAAUGACGGUACCUGACUAAGCAGCCCCGGCUAACUCCGUGCCAGCAGCCGCGGUACUACGUAGGGGGCAAGCGUUAUCCGGAUUUACUGGGUGUAAAGGGAGCGUAGACGGCAGAACAAGUCUGGGGUGAAAUCCCGGGGCUUAACCCCGGAACUGCUUUGGAAACUGUGCGGCUGGAGUGCAGGAGGGGUAAGCGGAAUUAGUAGUGUAGCGGUGAAAUGCGUAGAUAUUAGGAAGAACACCGGUGGCGAAGGCAGCUUACUGGACUGUAACUGACGUUGAGGCUCGAAAGCGUGGGGAGCAAACAGGAUUAGAUACCCCUGUAGUC